rnacentral:ncRNA from 1 species
AUAAAAACUAUGAUAGGGAGAAGUAUAUAUAGGAUAAGUUCAAAGCGAGCGGUGGAUGGUGAAAGCACUGUAAUGGAACUAUAUAGAAAGCAGCCCUUGAGUUUCCAAUCGAGAAAGAAGAAUUAAGUUUUAAUUCUUACAAUAGAGGAAGACGUAUCCUCACGUUAUAGAGGAAUAGAAUAAUCAAUUCUAGGUUAGAGAGAGUGCUAAGUAGCACUAAUUAGGGUGGUACCGCGAAAAUCCUUCGUCCCUUUA